GUGGGGAAUAUUGGACAAUGGGCGCAAGCCUGAUCCAGCCAUGCCGCGUGAGUGAUGAAGGCCUUAGGGUUGUAAAGCUCUUUUGUCCGGGAAGAUAAUGACUGUACCGGAAGAAUAAGCCCCGGCUAACUUCGUGCCAGCAGCCGCGGUAAUACGAAGGGGGCUAGCGUUGUUCGGAAUCACUGGGCGUAAAGCGCACGUAGGCGGACCAUUAAGUCAGGGGUGAAAGCCUGGAGCUCAACUCCAGAACUGCCUUUGAUACUGAUGGUCUCGAGUAUGGAAGAGGUUGGUGGAACUGCGAGUGUAGAGGUGGAAUUCGUAGAUAUUAGGAAGAACACCAGUGGCGAAGGCGGCUUACUGGUCCGGAACUGACGCUGAGGUGCGAAAGCGUGGGGAGCAAACAGGAUUAGAAACCCGAGUAGUCC
rnacentral:rRNA from 1 species